AACGAACGCUGGCGGCAUGCCUAACACAUGCAAGUCGAACGAGACCUUCGGGUAUAGUGGCGCACGGGUGCGUAACGCGUGGGAACCUGCCCUUAGGUUCGGAAUAACUCCCCGAAAGGGGUGAUAAUACCGGAUAAUGUCUUCGGACCAAAGAUUUAUCGCCUUUGGAUGGGCCCGCGUUGGAUUAGCUAGUUGGUAGGGUAAAAGCCUACCAAGGCGACGAUUCAUAGCUGGUCUGAGAGGAUGAUCAGCCACACUGGGACUGAGACACGGCCCAGACUCCUACGCGAGGCAGCAGUGGUGAAUAUUGGACAAUGGGCGAAAGCCUGAUCCAGCAAUGCCGCGUGAGUGAUGAAGGCCUUAGGGUUGUAAAGCUCUUUUACCCGGGAUGAUAAUGACAGUACCGGGAGAAUAAGCUCCGGCUAACUCCGUG
rnacentral:rRNA from 1 species